rnacentral:tRNA from 1 species
UCCCUGGUAGCUGAAACAGUAAAGAACCUGCCUGCAAUGCAGGAGACCUGGGUUUGAUUCCUGGCUUCAGAA